UCCGGAUUUAAUUUGAUAUCACAGUCUAAUUUUUAUUCAUAAGCCAAUUUUUCUGCACUGAGCAGAGUCUUGCUACCUCAGUCAGUAUUGUUUUGGUUUGCUACUUCCCUCACCCACUUUGGCCUCCGUUCACCCCACCCCACCCCACCUCUCCCCACCUUACCCCCGCCCCGCUUGGCUUCUUCUUUAGGAUUGUGAUGGUUCGUUCUGUUUACAUCAGUUUUAACGAGAGGUAUGCCUGUACUCGCUUGUGCAGAAAACAUUGUUCCAGAUUCAAUCGACUGGGUUUAUGUCCCUUCACAUAGUUUUUAAGGUUAUUUAUUUAAAUGUCUAAUGUAUUUUAUUGUAACAGACAUUGUUUUGCCAACAUUGCCUAUUUCAGUGGCACGUCAUCUAGUUUUAAAAAAAUAAAACAUUUUAAAUGGACAGAGAAAAAUAACUGUCUUGUCUUUAACUCGUAAGUGGCUUACCUGGGACUAACAGACAUGUCCAACUUUCUCUCCAGUUCUUAGCUCAGAACUUUAGUUGUACUCUGCUUGAGGGGAAGAAGGCUCCUGCUCUGCUGUGUAGGUAGUCAUAGGAAUUGUAUUCUUAAUGUACAGGCACUAAUUGUCAUCUGUGAUGUACAUUUUAUGCAAGUUUCUGCUGGCCUGGUAUAGAGAACAUAAGGGCAAGUGUGUAUGUGUGUGUAUGUGUGUGUUUUGUAAAAUCUGUAAAUAGCACAUGACCAAAUGAACAUAUUGUAUAGAACUAUUUUUAUUUGAAUGUGGCACUAACCACCACCACCGUUACUACGAUCAAUGUUUGCGCAUGUUCGAGAUGAGUCUCACCAACAGUGUGUAAGUCAUUAACAGUCCUAACUGUGGUGUUUUCCUCCAAUGCCUUCCAACAUCCAUCAACUAACCAAUACUGGAGUAACCGCUUCCUAAACCAUUUUGCAGAAAUGUAAGGGUGUUCGGUUGCGUGCAUGUGCGUUUUUAGCAACACAUCUACCAACCCUGUGCAUGACUGAUGUUGGGGAAAAAGAAAAGUAAAAAACUUCCCAACUCACUUUGUGUUAUGUGGAGGAAAUGUGUAUUACCAAUGGGGUUGUUAGCUUUUAAAUCAAAAUACUGAUUACAGAUGUACAAUUUAGCUUAAUCAGAAAGCCUCUCCAGAGAAGUUUGGUUUCUUUGCUGCAAGAGGAAUGAGGCUCUGUAACCUUAUCUAAGAACUUGGAAGCCGUCAGCCA
rnacentral:lncRNA from 1 species